rnacentral:rRNA from 1 species
AUGCCGGCGACGUGCGCGGCCUUCUUGAACGAGAAGUGGGUCUGGUCGGAGCAGUAGACGACGAGGUCGCCCAUCCUCUCCUCGCCUCCUACUUCGGCGAGCUUCCGGUCCCUCGCGGCGACGAUGGUGCAGAGCAUGGCCUCGCACGACGUCCCGAGCAGCGUGCCGCCGCCGCCACCGCAGAAGAGCAGCUGCUCCGGGAGGUGUAGCGCCUUACCCAGCCAAUCUGUAACAACGACCUCGAGCUCGGUGGCCGCCGGCGAGGCGGCCCAGGUAAAAGGGUUGAUGUUGAGGCCCGCGGCGAGGGCCUCGCCGAGCGCGCCCACGUUGCUCGCCGUCGCCGCGAAGUGCGCGAAAUGACGGGGGCUCUGCCAGUGGGUGACGCCGGGAAGGAUGAGGUCCCGGAUGUCGCGCAGCGCCGAGGCGAGCGCGUCGGGCUCCGGCCACGACGGCGCCGUGUCGGGAAGCUGCCGGGCUAGGAACCCGGGAGCGACGGCCGGGCGAACAGGGUACUCGUCGAUGCGGUCGUAG